UACAGAGGGUGCGAGCGUUAAUCGGAAUUACUGGGCGUAAAGCGUGCGUAGACGGUUUCGUAAGUCGGGUGUGAAAGCCCCGGGCUCAACCUGGGAAUUGCAUUCGAGACUGCGUAGCUAGGGUGCGGAAGAGGGAAGCGGAAUUUCCGGUGUAGCGGUGAAAUGCGUAGAUAUCGGAAGGAACAUCAGUGGCGAAAGCGGCUUCCUGGUCCAGCACCGACGUUCAGGCACGAAAGCGUGGGGAGCAAACGGG
rnacentral:rRNA from 1 species